rnacentral:rRNA from 1 species
CGGCGUGCUUAACACAUGCAAGUCGAACGAAACACCUUAUUUGAUUUUCUUCGGAACUGAAGAUUUGGUGAUUGAGUGGCGGACGGGUGAGUAACGCGUGGGUAACCUACCCUGUACAGGGGGAUAACAGUCAGAAAUGACUGCUAAUACCGCAUAAGACCACAGCACCGCAUGGUGCAGGGGUAAAAACUCCGGUGGUACAGGAUGGACCCGCGUCUGAUUAGCUGGUUGGUGAGGUAACGGCUCACCAAGGCGACGAUCAGUAGCCGGCUUGAGAGAGUGAACGGCCACAUUGGGACUGAGACACGGCCCAAACUCCUACGGGAGGCAGCAGUGGGGAAUAUUGCACAAUGGGGGAAACCCUGAUGCAGCGACGCCGCGUGAGUGAAGAAGUAUCUCGGUAUGUAAAGCUCUAUCAGCAGGGAAGAAAAUGACGGUACCUGACUAAGAAGCCCCGGCUAACUACGUGCCAGCAGCCGCGGUAAUACGUAGGGGGCAAGCGUUAUCCGGAAUUACUGGGUGUAAAGGGUGCGUAGGUGGUAUGGCAAGUCAGAAGUGAAAACCCAGGGCUUAACUCUGGGACUGCUUUUGAAACUGUCAGACUGGAGUGCAGGAGAGGUAAGCGGAAUUCCUAGUGUAGCGGUGAAAUGCGUAGAUAUUAGGAGGAACAUCAGUGGCGAAGGCGGCUUACUGGACUGAAACUG